CGGGGCGUAGCGCAGCCCGGUUAGCGCGCCUGCUUCGGGAGCAGGAGGUCCGGGGUUCAAAUCCCCGCGCCCCGA
rnacentral:tRNA from 1 species